CCCUGGCUUUCUUCCAGAGCUGUGCUGAGCUAAGCCAGCCCGGUGGUGAGCACCUGCCAGCCAGGAGACUUCAAGAGGUCCGUGGGUCCCUUCCCCAAGAAAGAUGUUGGCUAUGGGAAGUGGGGGAGCGUGGAAGAUUCCUUCCCUCCACCCUUGAUCUCCUCUUGACCCUCUGCCUGAAGUCCCACCAUUUAGGGGCUCAUAUCUUGGAGCCUUCAACGUUUGGGGGUUUCCCAAUAAAGGCACUCCUGGGCAGUGAUACCCCUUGGUCCCCCCUAACUA